CGGAUCCGCGCCGCUGCAGAGUUUGAUCCUGGCUCAGGAUGAACGCUAGCGGCAGGCUUAACACAUGCAAGUCGAGGGGCAGCGGGUGUAGCAAUACAUGCCGGCGACCGGCGCAAGGGUGCGUAACGCGUGAGCAAUCUGCCCGUAUCAGGGGGAUAAGCGAUGGAAACGUCGUCUAAUACCGCAUAACACAUUGGAUGGCAUCGUCCGAUGUUGAAAGCUUCGGUGGAUACGGAUGAGCUCGCGAGACAUUAGUUAGUUGGCGGGGUAACGGCCCACCAAGACCGCGAUGUCUAGGGGAACUGAGAGGUUGGUCCCCCACACUGGAACUGAGACACGGUCCAGACUCCUACGGGAGGCAGCAGUGAGGAAUAUUGGACAAUGGCCGGAAGGCUGAUCCAGCCAUGCCGCGUGAAGGAUAAGGUCCUAUGGAUUGUAAACUUCUUUUGAGAGGGAGCAAUAAGGUGUACGCGUACACCGAUGAGAGUACCUUUCGAAUAAGCAUCGGCUAACUCCGUGCCAGCAGCCGCGGUAAUACGGAGGAUGCGAGCGUUAUCCGGAUUUAUUGGGUUUAAAGGGUGCGUAGGCGGUUUAUCAAGUCAGCGGUGAAACGCAAGGGCUUAACCCUUGACCUGCCGUUGAAACUGGUGGACUGGAAUGCGGAUGCUGUGGGAGGAAUGUGUGGUGUAGCGGUGAAAUGCAUAGAUAUCACACAGAACACCGAUUGCGAAGGCAUCUCACAAAUCCGUGAUUGACGCUGAGGCACGAAAGUGUGGGGAUCAAACAGGAUUAGAUACCCUGGUAGUCCACACUGUAAACGAUGAUGACUCGCUGUCGGCGAUAUACAGUCGGUGGCCAAGCGAAAGCGAUAAGUCAUCCACCUGGGGAGUACGACCGCAAGGUUGAAACUCAAAGGAAUUGACGGGGGCCCGCACAAGCGGAGGAACAUGUGGUUUAAUUCGAUGAUACGCGAGGAACCUUAC
rnacentral:rRNA from 1 species